rnacentral:rRNA from 1 species
UGGGGAAUCUUGCACAAUGGAGGAAACUCUGAUGCAGCGACGCCGCGUGAGCGAUGAAGCCCUUCGGGGUGUAAAGCUCUUUCGACGGGAACGAUAAUGACGGUACCCGAAGAAGAAGCUGCGGCUAACUACGUGCCAGCAGCCGCGGUAAUACGUAGGCAGCAAGCGUUGUUCGGAAUUACUGGGCGUAAAGAGUGUGUAGGCGGUGUUCUAAGUUUGUCGUGAAAUCUCCCGGCUUAACUGGGAGGGUGCGGCGAAAACUGGAAUGCUAGAGGAUGGGAGAGGUAAGCGGAAUUCCUGGUGUAGCGGUGAAAUGCGUAGAUAUCAGGAGGAACACCUGUGGUGUAGACAGCUUACUGGACCAUUUCUGACGCUGAGACACGAAAGCGUGGGUAGCAAACA